rnacentral:lncRNA from 10 species
UAGCUUAUUCAUCAGGUUUACACUUCUCAACUAUGCCUCAAAUCUGGGCUGUGCUUUUCUUACCUAUAUGUCCUGCUUUAUAUUGACAUAAUAAUUUCUUAUAGUUUCGCUUUAAGCUUUCCUCUGCUCUUUAUUAUGCCCUAUUAUGCCAUUGGAAGAUCAUUGAGAUUCUAGUAAAAUACAGAAAAAUAGCAACACCAUCCUGAUGUGUCCAUGAUCAACUGAGUUAUGCCACAAUGUAUGAAAAGCCCAGCUGUACAGAGGGGGGAAUAAUAAGAGAUUUGGACAGUCUGACCAAUUCAGUUACAUUAUUUUUUUCCUUCUUCCUCACUAUAACUACACAUUUGAGCACACAUGGACAAAAAUAUUAAUAUGAAAGUGACUACAUACUGCACAACUGGACAGACUAAUUUCUACCUUCAGCAAAAUGUCUACCAAAGUCAAGUAAUAGGGCCUGAUCUGAAGCCGCAAUGAGUCUUCAGAUGUCAAAUAUGCCCUGAAUGCUGUGAAUGCAGAAGAUGAAAUAAUUAAUAUCAACUGGGAGAGCCAAGGAGCAAUGGGGAGGUUAACAACUUUUAAUAUUCAAUGUCAAAUAUCAGAAGCUAUGAAGCAAAUUAAUAUAGUCAUGUACCACAUACCAAUGUUUCAGUUAAUGAUGGACAGCAUAUAUCACAGUGAACCGUUGUGAAAAUAUUUUGUCAUAUAAAUAACAUGAAAAUUCUAAACAAGACAGUGAUGCUAACGAUUAAUUGUCAGAGUCUUUUUAAGAUAAGAGUAUCAGUUUGGGAAUAUAAAGAAGUGUGUUGUUGUCAUAAAAGUGGUGACUAAGAAAGUAAAUUCCGUUACUGAAGAAUGCCCACCAAGAAUAAAGAAUUGGAUGCAAAGCACCUCCAGUGAAAUGCAGAAAUAAAAAGAUAAUUAAGUGUUCAUGAUCACUUUCCUUUGGAAUCAUAGAACUAUGCAACCUUAUUUUUCAACUACAGUGGAUGAAUGACAAACUGAAAUAAAAACCAAUGAUUUAUAUUAAGCCAGGUGGGUAUUUUGUGAUCCUAGUCAUGUAGGAAAACAUUGAUAAACAGUGAAAAUGUGACUUGACCCAUUUUUUUCUAUUAUGUUUGUCCAUAACUUGAUAGUAUGAUCCUUUCCUUUUAUUAUGUUUUAUGUAAGUAUAGAAGAACACCACAAAGCAUAAGCCGGAAUUUGCAUAUAUGACAGAGAUGUAAAGACAUUGGGAAACCUGGCAACUAAAGUUUAAAUAGUUAAAAGUGUAACAUAUAUAACAUUAUU